CCAUCUCCCAGCGGUUUUGUCAGCGGUAGGUAGAUGGGCGCGUCUGUAAGUGCUGCCCUCUAGUGUUGUAGUUCUUCAGCCUUUGGGUGUUGUGCCUCUUGGUGCCAUAAGAGUUAAAGUCCUUCUGUGGACCUGGGCUCCCUCAUCCCUUUCUUGCUAUUGACGUUGUAGCUUCCAGACAAGCUUAAGUAUUGGGAUUCUCUCAGCCAUUGGCCACAGCCAUUUCCAUCUCCCGAGGGCACGUGAAUCCUGAAGGUCACCUCCAGCUUGGAGCAGCUGUUGUCAAAAACUUUUCUCACCGUUGAUUGCUGCCCUGGCCAUACAGACGUCCAUUAUUUGAUGCAACCUGAUUGGUCAUCUCCUUUUGUUACCUUCUGAGCGUCUAUAAUCCCAUCAAGAAGGCCACUACUUACAUCAGAGACGAUGUGAGAAGACAAACACAAUCUUCCCCAUGGAAGAACCGCUGAGCACAAAGGAGGAAACCCAGAGGCUUGAGGCUUGAUGGAAUCAUCACAGGGGUCAUAACUACUCCUGGCCCACAGGACACCUAUGUGUGGGAGUUAGAAAGGGUUCCUACUCCACAAGUGGAAGAAGAGAA